UGUUCUCUUUUAUAUCUACAUCAAACCAGAAUAUGGAAGAGGGGGUGAGACAGCCUCGUAAGCUCCAGGAGGUGAAGGGUUACCUUUGUACCCCCUUCUUUCUUACUGGCCCCCUCCUUGCGGCCUCUAGCCUGAGCAGGCCUUGAUCCUGAAGUAAUGGUUGCCGCGGCAACAAGGUUGACAAAGGGGGCCUUCUGAGAGACAGCCAAAUGCCUUCUCGCUGGGACUCACCAGGAUGGGGGUAGGAGCCGGAUGGUAAAUAGGGGAGAAAAGGCUUCAGACCAACGUACGUCAGAGAGCGAACCAGCUAGUCUGUGUGUGCGACCAGGCGUGAAAAGACAGGGGUGUAAAAAAUGAACUGUGCACAUAUACAUGUACUGCAGAGGAGGUCUACACAGAGUAUGUACGAGUCCUUGAUGCAGGUGGAUGCCUCUGCAAAAAAAGUGCAUGCAUUUCUUCAUGUGUGCGUUCACAGGCAAACCUACACCCAAGUAUUCCCGAUUCCCAAUCACAACAAGAUGAUGGCCCUUUUUUGGCGUCUGCUUUAACAGCUGUCAUAUGUGGCUCUGGCGGGCUACCACAGUGAAGCGCACAGGAACCCUGCCUGAUGUGCGUGUUUCCUCUCCGGAUAAGAACAGAAGAUCCUAUCCAGUUGGAGUCAAGAUAUUUAUUAAGGAAUGGGUUCCAAGUCUUUCAGGAAAGAAAGGGUUAAGUUUCCCUCUUCCUCCGCUGGCCAAGUAAGUGGAGGGCAAAGUUUGGCAAAGAAUUUGCUACAUUUCCAUAAGGAAAAAAGAAAACACCACAGAGAGACAAACCAAAAGCUUCUCUAACCAGAAAAGUGGGUAAUCCUAGAUUUCACUGAAAGCCAGGAUUGGAACCAAACUCUGGCCUCAUGCAGAGUUUCCAAAGCAUCUCCUAAGAAAGGAACAGAAGCAACAUUUCUCCAAUUUUUUUAGCUACACACCCAAAUCCACAGCUGAGUAUCUAGUAAAUAAAGCAGAAAUUUGACUUCUAGAAGCAUAGUUCUGUUAACCUGUAAUUCACUGCACCAAAUCCAACAAAGAACCUUGUGUUACCUUGAAGACUCAGCACGUUUAAUUUGGCAUGAAUUUUCAUGGACUAAGGCCGACUUCUUCAGAUGGAAGAAGUGGAUUCCAGAAAGACCAAUUCCAACCACCCCCUAAUUU